rnacentral:rRNA from 1 species
CCAUGCAGUCGACGGCAGCACGGGGGCAACCCUGGUGGCGAGUGGCGAACGGGUGAGUAAUACAUCGGAACGUGUCCUGGAGUGGGGGAUAGCCCGGCGAAAGCCGGAUUAAUACCGCAUACGCUCUGAGGAGGAAAGCGGGGGAUCUUUCGGGACCUCGCGCUCAAGGGGCGGCCGAUGGCAGAUUAGCUAGUUGGUGGGGUAAAGGCCUACCAAGGCGACGAUCUGUAGCUGGUCUGAGAGGACGACCAGCCACACUGGGACUGAGACACGGCCCAGACUCCUACGGGAGGCAGCAGUGGGGAAUUUUGGACAAUGGGGGAAACCCUGAUCCAGCAAUGCCGCGUGUGUGAAGAAGGCCUUCGGGUUGUAAAGCACUUUUGUCCGGAAAGAAAACCUCUGGGUUAAUACCCUGGGGGGAUGACGGUACCGGAAGAAUAAGCACCGGCUAACUACGUGCCAGCAGCCGCGGUAAUACGUAGGGUGCAAGCGUUAAUCGGAAUUACUGGGCGUAAAGCGUGCGCAGGCGGUCCGCUAAGACAGAUGUGAAAUCCCCGGGCUUAACCUGGGAACUGCAUUUGUGACUGGCGGGCUAGAGUAUGGCAGAGGGGGGUAGAAUUCCACGUGUAGCAGUGAAAUGCGUAGAGAUGUGGAGGAAUACCGAUGGCGAAGGCAGCCCCCUGGGCCAAUACUGACGCUCAUGCACGAAAGCGUGGGGAGCAAACAGGAUUAGAUACCCUGGUAGUCCACGCCCUAAACGAUGUCAACUAGUUGUYGGGUCUUCAUUGACUUGGUAACGUAGCUAACGCGUGAAGUUGACCGCCUGGGGAGUACGGUCGCAAGAUUAAAACUCAAAGGAAUUGACGGGGACCCGCACAAGCGGUGGAUGAUGUGGAUUAAUUCGAUGCAACGCGAAAAACCUUMCCUACCCUUGACAUGUAUGGAAGUCUGCCGAGA